UGGGGAAUAUUGCACAAUGGGCGCAAGCCUGAUGCAGCCAUGCCGCGUGUAUGAAGAAGGCCUUCGGGUUGUAAAGUACUUUCAGCGGGGAGGAAGGGAGUAAAGUUAAUACCUUUGCUCAUUGACGUUACCCGCAGAAGAAGCACCGGCUAACUCCGUGCCAGCAGCCGCGGUAAUACGGAGGGUGCAAGCGUUAAUCGGAAUUACUGGGCGUAAAGCGCACGCAGGCGGUCUGUCAAGUCGGAUGUGAAAUCCCCGGGCUUAACCUGGGAACUGCAUUCGAAACUGGCAGGCUAGAGUCUUGUAGAGGGGGGUAGAAUUCCAGGUGUAGCGGUGAAAUGCGUAGAGAUCUGGAGGAAUACCGGUGGCGAAGGCGGCCCCCUGGACAAAGACUGACGCUCAGGUGCGAAAGCGUGGGGAGCAAACAGG
rnacentral:rRNA from 1 species